GACGGGGGGGCAAGUGUUCUUCGGAAUGACUGGGCGUAAAGGGCACGCAGGCGGUGAAUCGGGUUGAAAGUGAAAGUCGCCAAAAAGUGGCGGAAUGCUCUCGAAACCAAUUCACUUGAGUGAGACAGAGGAGAGUGGAAUUUCAUGUGUAGGGGUGAAAUCUGUAGAUCUACGAAGGAACGCCAAAAGCGAAGGCAGCUCUCUGGGUCCCUACCGACGCUGGGGUGCGAAAGCAUGGGGAGCGAACAGG
rnacentral:rRNA from 1 species